rnacentral:rRNA from 1 species
GCACCUACUCUUUAAUUGCCAGCAUUCAGUUGGGCACUUUAAAGAGACUGCCGGUGUUAAACCGGAGGAAGUGGGGAUGACGUCAAGUCCUCAUGGCCUUUAUGCUUAGGGCUACACACGUGCUACAAUGGGUGGUACAAAGAGAAGCCAACUCGCGAGAGCGCGCCAAUCUCAAAAAGCCAUCCUCAGUUCGGAUUGGAGUCUGCAACUCGACUCCAUGAAGUUGGAAUCGCUAGUAAUCGCGGAUCAGCAUGCCGCGGUGAAUACGUUCCCGGGCCUU